ACUCUUGUUAAUUACAGUGGUGAUAAUGAGUUCUAUAGUGGAGGAUCACUUUGUUCAGCUGAUUUGGGUCUUAUUUUGGCUCUUGGUCAUGCUGAUAUUUACUGUCCUGUUAGUAAGAGGGCACGCAUUAGUGGCCCGUUUAUCGUUGAAGAGAGGACUAAGAAUCCAUCCAUUGAAUUACUUCCCAAUGAAUGCCUAUUUGAGAUCUUCAGGAGACUGGAAGGAGGCCGUGAAAGGAGUGCAGCAGCUUGCGUUUCUAAGCGUUGGCUUAUGCUCUUGAGUAAUAUGAGGAGCUCUGAUAUCCGCCAUACUAAUCUUUCAGCUGCUAAUGGGGCUUCAGAUGAUACGAAAAUGGCCUCAUCUGAUGAAGAUCAAGUUGAGUGUGACGGAUAUCUUACAAGGUGUUUAGAAGGGAAGAAAGCUACAGACAUUAGGCUCUCAGCUAUGGCAGUUGGAACUUCUAGCCGUGGGGGUCUUGGAAAGCUCUCAGUUCGGGGGAGCAACCCCGUUCGGGGUAUUACUAAUGUUGGUUUAACUGCAAUAGCCCAUGGUUGUCCGUCUCUUAGGGUUCUUUCAUUGUGGGAUGUUCAGGAUGUUGGAGAUGAAGGUCUUAUGGAGAUUGCAAGAGGAUGUCAUUCAUUAGAAAAGCUAGAUUUAACUAAAUGUCCCUCAGUUUCCAACAAAGGUCUGGUUGCAAUAGCAGAGAAUUGCCCAAGUUUGACGUCAUUGACGAUCGAAUCAUGUAAACAUAUUGGAAAUGAGGGCCUGCAAGC
rnacentral:misc_RNA from 1 species